ensembl:snoRNA small nucleolar RNA, H/ACA box 5A
CGCAGCUGUGUCAAAUUCGGUGCCUGCCCACCCUGUGGCCGGCACUGGCCCGAAAGGCUGCCACAGAAACACUGUGACCCAUGGGCCCUGGUCCCCUGUGCUGGGCGUCAGGGAUAAAUUUGGUCAUAGACACCU